UCCCACCAAGGCGACGAUUGGUAGCCGGACUGAGAGGUUGAACGGCCACAUUGGGACUGAGACACGGCCCAGACUCCUACGGGAGGCAGCAGUGGGGGAUAUUGCACAAUGGGGGAAACCCUGAUGCAGCGACGCCGCGUGGAGGAAGAAGGUUUUCGGAUUGUAAACUCCUGUCGUUAGGGACGAUAAUGACGGUACCUAACAAGAAAGCACCGGCUAACUACGUGCCAGCAGCCGCGGUAAAACGUAGGGUGCAAGCGUUGUCCGGAAUUACUGGGUGUAAAGGGAGCGCAGGCGGACCGGCAAGUUGGAAGUGAAAUCCAUGGGCUCAACCCGUGAAUUGCUUUCAAAACUGCUGGCCUUGAGUAGUGCAGAGGUAGGUGGAAUUCCCGGUGUAGCGGUGGAAUGCGUAGAUAUCGGGAGGAACACCAGUGGCGAAGGCGACCUACUGGGCACCAACUGACGCUGAGGCUCGAAAGCAUGGGUAGCAAACAGGAUUAGAUACCCUGGUAGUCCAUGCCGUAAACGAUGAUUACUAGGUGUUGGAGGAUUGACCCCUUCAGUGCCGCAGUUAACACAAUAAGUAAUCCACCUGGGGAGUACGACCGCAAGGUUGAAACUCAAAGGAAUUGACGGGGGCCCGCACAAGCAGUGGAGUAUGUGGUUUAAUUCGAAGCAACGCGAAGAACCUUACCAGGUCUUGACAUCCGAUGCAUAGUGCAGAGAUGCAUGAAGUCCUUCGGGACAUCGAGACAGGUGGUGCAUGGUUGUCGUCAGCUCGUGUCGUGAGAUGUUGGGUUAAGUCCCGCAACGAGCGCAACCCUUAUUGCCAGUUACUACGAAAGAGGACUCUGGCGAGACUGCCGUUGACAAAACGGAGGAAGGUGGGGAUGACGUCAAAUCAUCAUGCCCUUUAUGACCUGGGCUACACACGUACUACAAUGGCGUUUAACAAAGAGAAGCAAGACCGCGAGGUGGAGCAAAACUCAGAAACAACGUCUCAGUUCAGAUUGCAGGCUGCAACUCGCCUGCAUGAAGUCGGAAUUGCUAGUAAUCGCGGAUCAGCAUGCCGCGGUGAAUACGUUCCCGGGCCUUGUACACACCGCCCGUCACACCAUGAGAGCCGGGGGGACCCGAAGUCGGUAGUCUAACCGCAAGGAGGACGCCGCCGAAGGUAAAACUGGUGAUUGGGGUGAAGUCGUAACAAGGUAGCCGUA
rnacentral:rRNA from 1 species